GGCUCCAGGCUCCGAGCUGCAGGCACAGAACCCGACGCGGGGCUCGAACCCACCAACUGCAAGAUCAUGCCCUGCGUUGAAUCGGGUGCUCAACUGGCUGAGCCACCCAGGGGCCCCGCCAGCCCCUCACAUCUUGCUGGCCGGCCUCCCCUCCCUCUGGCUCUCUCCUCCCAGUUCAGGCCACUGCUUCCGCCUCCCUUCCGCACACACACCCGGCCCACUCUCCACAUCUGGCUCCCUCUCCUCUAAUCUGGCCUCCACCCUCUGAACUGACUACUCACACCACCACCCCCUCCUCCCUGGAACCUUGCUCAGCCAGCACUCAGCGGCAAGCUUCUGUUCUCCUGGACCCGAAAGUCAGGCCACAGCUGGACUCUGUUUCCAGGAGGGACUGACUUCAGCCUCAGGGAUGGUGCAAAGACUCCAGGCGCCGCCCCCAGGCUCAACCUGCCCUUACUCCCCCCUGCAGAAGGACACCAGGGGAGACUUUAGGAGCCUACACAGAGUAGAGAAUGGGCUCCAUACCGCCUUCCUCCAUCCACUUCCCAGGAGCAGUGCAAGGAGAAAAACAAAAAUGAAGAAACUGAGGCACAGAAAGGUGAAGUCGCUUGCCUGAGAUUAAGCAGCAAACAGGUGACAGAGCUGGGAUCCACACUGUUCACACACCAGGGCCCCAGAAGGGCCCCUGUUCACCCUGUGCUCAAGCUGGAGUGCCUGAGUAGGAUCCUUAAAUUGUCCCCGGACCAGAGUGCCUCGGUGGGUCAGUGGGUUGAGCGUCCCACUCUUGAUUUCAGCUCAGGUCACAAUCCCAGGGUCAUGGGAUUGAGCCUCGUGUUGGGCUCCAUGCUGAGUGUGGAUCCUGCUUGGGAUUUUCUCUCUCUCUCUCUCUCUCUCUCUCUCCCCUCUCUCUCUCAAAUAAAAUAUUAAAAAAAAUUUUAAAAAUUGUCCCUAGACCUUCAGAUCUUGUUCAAGAUUAGGAUUGCCUGCUGGACAGUUCACAGAGCUCAUUUGUAUUGCCCAUGAAUUACCCUGAAGGGUCAGUGCUGGGAGGGGAUUGGGAGGAGGGGGCAUUUGUUUCCUCCAUGAUGUAAAGCUGAGACCCUGCCCAUCCUGUCCCUCCAUUGGUGUCACCAAGGCCCUCAGAAAGGCAUAUAGUCUCUCACUGGGGUCUUUUUAUUAUUCUUAUUAUUAUUUUUAACAUUUAUUUAUUGUUGAGA